rnacentral:rRNA from 1 species
CCUACGGGAGGCAGCAGUGGGGAAUAUUGCGCAAUGGGCGAAAGCCUGACGCAGCGACGCCGCGUGAGGGAUGAAGGUCUUCGGAUCGUAAACCUCUGUCAGCAGGGAAGAACGGUCACUGUGCUAUUCAUCUGUGAAUUGACGGUACCUGCAAAGGAAGCACCGGCUAACUCCGUGCCAGCAGCCGCGGUAAUACGGAGGGUGCGAGCGUUAAUCGGAAUUACUGGGCGUAAAGCGCACGUAUGCGGUAUGUCAAGUCAAUGGUGAAAUCCCCGGGCUCAACGUGGGAACUGCCUGUGAAACUGGCAAACUGGAGUGUGUGAGAGGAUAGUGGAAUUCCAGGUGUAGGAGUGAAAUCCGUAGAUAUCUGGAGGAACAUCAGUGGCGAAGGCGACUAUCUGGAACAUAACUGACGCUGAGGAGCGAAAGCGUGGGUAGCAAACAGGAUUAGAUACCCCGGUAGUC